GACGAACGCUGGCGGCGUGCUUAACACAUGCAAGUCGAACGGAAAGGCCCUGCUUUUGUGGGGUGCUCGAGUGGCGAACGGGUGAGUAACACGUGAGUAACCUGCCCUUGACUUUGGGAUAACUUCAGGAAACUGGGGCUAAUACCGGAUAGGAGCUCCUGCUGCAUGGUGGGGGUUGGAAAGUUUCGGCGGUUGGGGAUGGACUCGCGGCUUAUCAGCUUGUUGGUGGGGUAGUGGCUUACCAAGGCUUUGACGGGUAGCCGGCCUGAGAGGGCGACCGGCCACAUUGGGACUGAGAUACGGCCCAGACUCCUACGGGAGGCAGCAGUGGGGAAUAUUGCACAAUGGGCGGAAGCCUGAUGCAGCAACGCCGCGUGCGGGAUGACGGCCUUCGGGUUGUAAACCGCUUUCGCCUGUGACGAAGCGUGAGUGACGGUAAUGGGUAAAGAAGCACCGGCUAACUACGUGCCAGCAGCCGCGGUGAUACGUAGGGUGCGAGCGUUGUCCGGAUUUAUUGGGCGUAAAGGGCUCGUAGGUGGUUGAUCGCGUCGGAAGUGUAAUCUUGGGGCUUAACCCUGAGCGUGCUUUCGAUACGGGUUGACUUGAGGAAGGUAGGGGAGAAUGGAAUUCCUGGUGGAGCGGUGGAAUGCGCAGAUAUCAGGAGGAACACCAGUGGCGAAGGCGGUUCUCUGGGCCUUUCCUGACGCUGAGGAGCGAAAGCGUGGGGAGCGAACAGGCUUAGAUACCCUGGUAGUCCACGCUGUAAACGGUGGGUACUAGGUGUGGGGUCCAUUCCACGGGUUCCGUGCCGUAGCUAACGCUUUAAGUACCCCGCCUGGGGAGUACGGCCGCAAGGCUAAAACUCAAAGGAAUUGACGGGGCCCCGCACAAGCGGCGGAGCAUGCGGAUUAAUUCGAUGCAACGCGUAGAACCUUACCUGGGUUUGACAUGGAUCGGGAGUGCUCAGAGAUGGGUGUGCCUCUUUUGGGGUCGGUUCACAGGUGGUGCAUGCCUGUCGUCAGCUCGUGUCGUGAGAUGUUGGGUUAAGUCCCGCAACGAGCGCAACCCUUGUUCACUGUUGCCAGCACGUUAUGGUGGGGACUCAGUGGAGACCGCCGGGGUCAACUCGGAGGAAGGUGGGGAUGACGUCAAGUCCUCAUGCCCCUUAUGUCCAGGGCUUCACGCAUGCUACAAUGGCUGGUACAGAGAGUGGCGAGCCUGUGAGGGUGAGCGAAUCUCGGAAAGCCGGUCUCAGUUCGGAUUGGGGUCUGCAACUCGACCUCAUGAAGUCGGAGUCGCUAGUAAUCGCAGAUCAGCAACGCUGCGGUGAAUACGUUCCCGGGGCU
rnacentral:rRNA from 1 species